rnacentral:rRNA from 1 species
AUGAACGCUGACAGAAUGCUUAACCCAUGCAAGUCAACUUGAACUUCGGUUUGGGUGGCGGACGGGUGAGUAACGCGUAACGAACUUGCCUCACAGUUAGGGACAACAUUUGGAAACGAAUGCUAAUACCUGAUAUUAUGAUUUUAGGGCAUCCUAGAAUUAUGAAAGCUAUAUGCGCUGUGAGAGAGCUUUGCGUCCCAUUAGCUAGUUGGAGAGGUAACGGCUCACCAAGGCGAUGAUGGGUAGCCGGCCUGAGAGGGUGAACGGCCACAAGGGGACUGAGACACGGCCCUUACUCCUACGGGAGGCAGCAGUGGGGAAUAUUGGACAAUGGACCAAGAGUCUGAUCCAGCAAUUCUGUGUGCACGAUGAAGUUUUUCGGAAUGUAAAGUGCUUUCAGUUGGGAAGAAAAAAAUGACGAUACCAACAGAAGAAGUGACGGCUAAAUACGUG